rnacentral:lncRNA from 1 species
AUACGGCAGGUCUUCGCCAUCGCGUCGUCAUCGGACGGAAACACGGAACAGUCUUGCACGGGGACGGGGGUACUGUAGCUAAUCGCAGAGGCUUCCAUUGAUUUACAGUGCCGCACAAAAAAAAAUACGGUAGAGUAUUAUUUAUUGCACACACACACAGAAAAAGAAAAGAGAGAAAAAAAGAUUAUCUUACCUAGAACAGUACUACUGCUACUAGUAGAAUAGAGAAUGUAGAGGAU